CGGGGUGCCCAGGCGCGAAAACUUUGCAAUACACGAAAGUGUGACAGGGCUAUCCCGAGUGCCAUCCGCUGAGGAAGGCUUUUACCCAGUCUAGAACGCUGGGGGAAUAAGGAGAGGGCAAGUCUGGUGUCAGCCGCCGCGGUAAUACCAGCUCUCCCAGUGGUGUGGAUGUUUAUUGGGCCUAAAGCAUCCGUAGCUGGCUGAUUUAAUCCCUUGUUAAAUCCACCGAAUUAAUCCUUGGAUUGCGGGGGAUACUGCUCGUCUAUGGGACGAGAGAGGCGUACGGUAUUUCCGGGGUAGGGGUGAAAUCCUAUAAUCCCGGGAAGACCACCACUGGCGAAGGCUGUCUGCUACAACGCGCCCGACGGUGAGGGAUGAAAGCUGGGGGAGCGAACCGGAUUAGAUACCCGGGUAGUCCCAGCUGUAAACGAUGCAGGCUAGGUGUUUGGACGGCCACGUGCCGUUCUAGUGCCGCAGGGAAGCUGUUAAGCCUGCCGCCUGGGGAGUACGAUCGCAAGAUUGAAACUUAAAGGAAUUGGCGGGGGAGCAC
rnacentral:rRNA from 1 species